GCCCAGAUGGUGAAAUAGGUAGACACGCUAGUUUCAGGUACUAGUGCCGCGAGGUAUGGGGGUUCGAGUCCCCCUUUGGGCA
rnacentral:tRNA from 1 species